AAGGUGGGGAUGACGUCAAAUCAUCAUGCCCUUUAUGACCUGGGCUACAAACGUACUACAAUGGCCAGAUACAAAGAGAUGCGAAGCCGCGAGGUGGAGCGAACCUCAAUAAAAAUGGUCUCAGUUCGGAUUGGAGUCUGCAACUCGACUCCAUGAAGUCGGAAUCGCUAGUAAUCGCGGGUCAGCAGACCGCGGUGAAUACGUUCCCGGGCCUU
rnacentral:rRNA from 1 species